rnacentral:lncRNA from 1 species
CCAUUAUUACUUCUUGUUGCCCUUGUUGGGGCCACCGUGGGAGGUAAGGUACUUUUAAGUUUAGCACUGCCAUUGCUUUAUUGCAUAGUUCGGAGUAUUCAACUUUGAAAUGACAGAAAGUCAUUGUGGCUGGAUGGAACUCUAGAUCAUAGACCCCAAGUUAAGUAUAGAGCAUGGACAUAAACUUCACAUCAAAAUUGCAUCUCAUAUGAUGCAGAAACUACACUUUUUCUGUUGAGGCAUUUAAAAGAUUACAUAAGCAAGUAACUUGGAUGAUCAUAAGACAAGUUACGUUUGACUUGCAUUGCCAUACUUCUUCACAAAGCUAAGUCAAAAAUAGUACAUGCAGAUAUGAGACAGAAUUUGGAUUAAAUGAAAAGAAGUUCAAGUAUUUUUGAUGCAUUAAAGUACAUUGCAGUAUAGAUUCCCGGAGUUAAUAUGGCCAUUUCAUUUGGCAGUUCAUCUGCCAGAACACUAGAUAAAAAUCUUAGUUAUCCAUGAGGUUUACAAAUGAGCCUAUGUAUGUUUGUGGAAAUGACCAUUAAAGAUGCCAUUAGCUAUAAAAAUAAGCCAAUUAAAGAACUUGUCAACAAGAACUGUGUAAAUCCCAAACCUGUUAAUGUUGACAUAUGGAUCCUCAAUAUCUAAUCUGAUCCGUCUGUGCUCAUUUCACUCUACAUUUAAUAUGUUGUCUUUUGGGACAAUUCAAAAACUGUUCAGAAAAGAUCCUUAUUGUCUAAAGAUUUCCUCUCUUCUUCCUUUUUUCUUAUAUUUUUGGAUUGGCAAAAAAGAUGGGAAUUUGAAAUGUUUGUUUGUAAAUAAAACAUUUCAAGUUUGAGUCAACUCUGAGUACAACGGAAUGAAGUGUUUGUGCUAAAAUGGGUGAAUAUGUGUAGGAGUGAAUGAGAUCUCGUUUUAAAAAUGUCUUCACUACAAUUGACAAGUCCCUCACUAGCUUGAGGUUUUUUUUUUUGGGGGGGGGGGGUAAUUCAUAAAUGUAUAUAGUGUCCCACAUGAAAAAAAAUUUAGCAUGUAUUUUCUAGAAUAUGACUACAAAUAGGGGCUCGGUGCAAUAAUGUUUAUACACAUCUUAAUUAUAUUUUCCCCGUGUUAUUUCUCAUAGUUUUCCUUGGUUUUACUCUUUUUUUUGCUCCACCUUUUGACACAAGUAUGUGUGUGCGUUCAUUUGAUUGUACUUCAGGACUACUUGCACGUCAGAGAAAAGCGGAACUGCAGCGGUUAAAUGAGCAGCUCCGCCAGAUUAAUACAGCGCUUAGAAGGCAAGCCAAUAUAGAGUCCUAUGCACCUACCUUAAGUUAUGCUCCUGUUGGUGGUAAGAUUUCAGUAAGUGAAGUGAUUAUUGAUCCAAAAAAGGAGGAAUUAAUUUCUCACUUGAAAAGUGGGAAGAAUUUUCUGAGAAAUCAAGCUCUAGAAAAGGCUUUUUUGGAGUUUAAAACAGCUCUUAAGCUUGCACAGGACCUAAAAGACCCUAUAGAGGAAAAGAAGGCAGCGAGGGGCUUAGGUAUGUCAGAUCUCCUUGUUUAGUUUAGCCUAAUAUUAUCUUGGUUGAACUUGGUUAGACAGUAAAGGACUUGUGAAGUUAGUCGAAUAGAAAUCUCCUCUGCAUGUGACCCUGCAUUGACUGGAAUUACACAUGCAUGCAUCUUUUGUCUUCUUUGAUCUAGCAAGAAUUUUCUGGAGAUGAUUUUUGUGGUUGCUUGUCUAUGUAUAAAUAAUGUAACGAGUAUGUUCCCUGGGAAUGAGAUCCUGUCUUAACCAUAUUUCUUGUUGUCAUUUAUUCCUAAUUUCUUGGUGUCACAGAGUCAUGUUGCUUCUUUUUUCUUGGCUCAUUUUCUUUUUAAUCUAUGGAAGAAAGUGCCAAAUCCCGCCAGAAGUUGGAUGUAGAGAUUUUGUUAAAUUUACUUAUUAAAAGAGACUUUGCUUCAACCUACUGUUGUUUCUCUUUCUAGUAUAUGUUUGUGUCACGACGUAAUGACCCUCAAAGGUUCACCUCUUUCUCAGGGGCAUCGUUACAAAGGCAGGGCAAGUACAAGGAAGCGAUUGAAUACCACUCUAUGGUUCUUGAUAUCUCGGGAAGAAAUGGGGAGGAGUCUGGCAGCACAGAAGCUUAUGGAGCAAUAGCUGAUUGCUAUACCGAGCUUGGAGACAUAGAACGAGCUGCAAAAUACUAUGACAAAUACAUUGCAAGGCUACAGAGUGACUAAGCCAUCUACAGAAAGACUCAUGCAUAUCUUUCUGUUGCGGAAAUUUCUUCAUGUUCAUGCAUUUCAAGUAAAAUGUUUAGAAGUUAGGUCCUUUCUCUUGGUGUAUUUCUCUCUUGCAUAUAUCAUUCACUGGUUUCUUCUGUUUUUAGCUUUGUCUGUUACAUUUUUGGCGUCUCGAGGGUGAACUCAUCACCGAUAGCUGGUAUUCAGAAUUGUCAGCUUAAUUUACAUGUGAAAGUUGGAUUUGGGGAAACAAAUGAUGUUUAGAAAGUGAAUAUUUAGCAGCACUUUUGACUAUGGAAUGGACAAUGCAUAGAGAUUGUUCAGUAACAGUCCAUCCCAUUAACAUGUCUCAUGAUGACUUAACUUGGCUAACCAGCUAAACAAUAAUUAAUGCUUAAGAGCAAUCAAUUAAAUUCACACUAACUUGGCUAAGUUUGCAAAACAAUGUUAUGUAACCACAUUUAAACAAAAAUUUAUGUUAAUGUUUAGAAACCUAGAAGAACAAGGUAAUUUUACAACUGAGAUUUGAGGAGGUAUAAUAUAUGUAGGUGACACUUGAGAAGUACGAUAUUCGUUAAUCUUAUUGCUAUUUUUGUGGGGAAAGAGGUUGUCAAUAAUAGAUUCUUGGCUCAAAAGAAGUGCAACCAAAACAAAAUUGGAAGAAAAAUAAGGACAACGAAAAAUAGAAAGAUAGACAACACAAAUGGAACAAUGGAUAGUAAUAAAAAUUGAAGAAUAAGAUAUAUGUCAAUAUUGAAUAAUACUCCUAAAGAAGUAAGGAAAUAUUUGGACAGACUAUCUAUCCUUUACCCUAGUUCUCAAUCUCCGCACCUCUAAAUUAAAUAUAAAAUAAAUCGAUAGUUAUCUCGAAAAUAGAAAAAUGUGGAGCCCACUUUAAUAAAGGGCAAAAUCUUAAGCUUUUAUAAUAGGAAAAAGAACAUUUGUAGUCCAAAAACGGAAACUGUUUACAAUCGGCUAUUCCUUACUUUCAAUUCCUAUUUUUAACUAUUAAUUCGAAUUUACUACUUAAUACCAGCAAAGUAUAUAUAUAAUCUAAUGGUACCAAAGAGGAGGAAUCAGUCCUUCAGUAAAAACACUACUCAGAUAUUAUCCCACCCUUAUUUGUUGACACAUCCACAUAAAUCGGAUAUAAUAAAAUGUUUGUUUACACGCGCUUUCACGUAUUGAUUGGACCCUAAAACUCUAAAAUUUCCCUUAAUCUUUUCAUUUUCCUCUUUCUUUCUCUAAACUUUAUCCAUUUUUCUAUCGGACUAAAUUCACCCAUUCUCUUCAUGAUAUGAAAUUUCAUUCCAUUCAGGUAGGAGAUGAGUGGGUUUACUUUGGUUACCUUAUGAUUGUAUCAUGGUGGGGUGUUAGAUUUAACAAGUGGACAAUCAAUAUAUAAGGGUGGGCACUAGUUAAAUCUAAAAGCCCCACACGAUACCAUCUUAAGGUAACCAAAGUAAACCCACUCAUCUCCUACUUGAAUGGAAUGAAAGAACAGAGAACAAUUAAACUACACAUUGUACAUUAAACACGCACACACUAGGUAAAUAUGAAAAUAUUAUCGUUAUAACGAAAUGAUCACGAAAAUUGUAAACUUACUACACCAUAGUAUCAUUACGAACAUAUAUAACAUUAAACGAGAAAGAAAACACCACAUGGCUAACAAUAUGAAGAUAAUAUGGUAUAAAUAGUAUCAUUACGAACAUAUAUAACAUUAAACAAGAAAAAAAACACCAUAUGGUUAACAAUAUGAAGAUAAUAUGGUAUAAAUUGAACAAUGGAAUGCAAUAAUACUAAAACCCAAUUAUUGCUCUUCAUUUUUUUUUUGGGUCAAUUUCAUAAUCCUAAUCAAACACAAUCAUCAUUAUCGUUCAAAAUCGCUAGUAAAGAACUUAAAAAAACUAACCUUUACUCACAUAAAUAGGUGAAUAACUAGUAAACAAACCUUCCACAACCCUCCCAACAAACUUCGAUUGGAACGAAACCUCAGAUCAUGAAGAGAGUAGGGUGAAUUUGGUCUGAUAAAAAAAAGGUUAGGGUUUAGAGAAAGAAAGAGGAAAAUGAAAAGAUUACAGGAAAAUUAGAGCUUUGUGGUCCUGCUAAUACAUGGCAGCGCGUGUAAACAAACAUUUUUU